rnacentral:snRNA from 1 species
ACAUUUACCUGGCAGGUAAGAUACCAUGAUCUCUAUGGUGGUUUUCCCAGGGUAAGGCUGAUCCCUUGAACUAGAUUUGCUGACCCCUGUGAUUCCCCAACCUGGGGGAGACUCAGCUGCAUAAUUUGUGUUGGUGGGAGGUUGCAUGCAGGCUUUCC